rnacentral:rRNA from 1 species
GAGGAGCUUGCUCCUUGGGUGACGAGCGGCGGACGGGUGAGUAAAGUCUGGGGAUCUGCCUGAUGGAGGGGGAUAACUACUGGAAACGGUAGCUAAUACCGCAUGACGUCUUCGGACCAAAGUGGGGGACCUUCGGGCCUCACGCCAUGAGAUGAACCCAGAUGGGAUUAGCUGGUAGGUGAGGUAACGGCUCACCUAGGCGACGAUCCCUAGCUGGUCUGAGAGGAUGACCAGCCACACUGGAACUGAGACACGGUCCAGACUCCUACGGGAGGCAGCAGUGGGGAAUAUUGCACAAUGGGGGAAACCCUGAUGCAGCCAUGCCGCGUGUGUGAAGAAGGCCUUCGGGUUGUAAAGCACUUUCAGCGGGGAGGAAGGCAAUAAACUUAAUAAGUUUGUUGAUUGACGUUACCCGCAGAAGAAGCACCGGCUAACUCCGUGCCAGCAGCCGCGGUAAUACGGAGGGUGCAAGCGUUAAUCGGAAUGACUGGGCGUAAAGCGCACGCAGGCGGUCUGUUAAGUUGGAUGUGAAAUCCCCGGGCUCAACCCGGGAACAGCAUUCAAAACUGACAGGCUAGAGUCUCGUAGAGGGGGGUAGAAUUCCAGGUGUAGCGGUGAAAUGCGUAGAGAUCUGGAGGAAUACCGGUGGCGAAGGCGGCCCCCUGGACGAAGACUGACGCUCAGGUGCGAAAGCGUGGGGAGCAAACAGGAUUAGAUACCCUGGUAGUCCACGCCGUAAACGAUGUCGACUUGGAGGCUGUGGUCUUGAACCGUGGCUUCCGGAGCUAACGCGUUAAGUCGACCGCCUGGGGAGUACGGCCGCAAGGUUAAAACUCAAAUGAAUUGACGGGGGCCCGCACAAGCGGUGGAGCAUGUGGUUUAAUUCGAUGCAACGCGAAGAACCUUACCUACUCUUGACAUCCAGAGAAGACUGUAGAGAUACGGUUGUGCCUUCGGGAGCUCUGAGACAGGUGCUGCAUGGCUGUCGUCAGCUCGUGUUGUGAAAUGUUGGGUUAAGUCCCGCAACGAGCGCAACCCUUAUCCUUUGUUGCCAGCGAUACGGUCGGGAACUCAAAGGAGACUGCCGGUGAUAAACCGGAGGAAGGUGGGGAUGACGUCAAGUCAUCAUGGCCCUUACGAGUAGGGCUACACACGUGCUACAAUGGCGCAUACAAAGAGAAGCGAGCCUGCGAGGGUGAGCGGACCUCAUAAAGUGCGUCGUAGUCCGGAUUGGAGUCUGCAACUCGACUCCAUGAAGUCGGAAUCGCUAGUAAUCGUAGAUCAGAAUGCUACGGUGAAUACGUUCCCGGGCCUUGUACACACCGCCCGUCACACCAUGGGAGUGGGUUGCAAAAGAAGUAGGUAG